AUUGAACGCUGGCGGCAUGCUUUACACAUGCAAGUCGAACGGUAACAGGCCUUCGGGUGCUGACGAGUGGCGAACGGGUGAGUAAUGCAUCGGAACGUACCCAGAGGUGGGGGAUAACGCAGCGAAAGCUGUGCUAAUACCGCAUGUGAUCUGAGGAUGAAAGCGGGGGACCGAGCAGCAAUGUUUGGCCUCGCGCCUUUGUAGCGGCCGAUGUCGGAUUAGCUAGUUGGUGGGGUAAAGGCCUACCAAGGCGACGAUCCGUAGCUGGUCUGAGAGGACGAUCAGCCACACUGGGACUGAGACACGGCCCAGACUCCUACGGGAGGCAGCAGUGGGGAAUUUUGGACAAUGGGCGCAAGCCUGAUCCAGCAAUGCCGCGUGCGGGAAGAAGGCCUUCGGGUUGUAAACCGCUUUUGGCAGGAACGAAACGGUGUCCGCUAAUACCGGGCGCUAAUGACGGUACCUGCAGAAUAAGCACCGGCUAACUACGUG
rnacentral:rRNA from 1 species